rnacentral:rRNA from 1 species
UGGGGAAUAUUGCACAAUGGGCGCAAGCCUGAUGCAGCAACGCCGCGUGAGGGACGACGGCCUUCGGGUUGUAAACCUCUUUUAGUAGGGAAGAAGCGAAAGUGACGGUACCUGCAGAAAAAGCACCGGCUAACUACGUGCCAGCAGCCGCGGUAAUACGUAGGGUGCGAGCGUUGUCCGGAAUUAUUGGGCGUAAAGAGCUCGUAGGCGGUCUGUCGCGUCUGCUGUGAAAACCCGAGGCUCAACCUCGGGCCUGCAGUGGGUACGGGCAGACUAGAGUGCGGUAGGGGAGAAUGGAAUUCCUGGUGUAGCGGUGGAGUGCGCAGAUAUCAGGAGGAACACCGAUGGCGAAGGCAGUUCUCUGGGCCGUAACUGACGCUGAGGAGCGAAAGCGUGGGGAGCGAACAGGAUUAGAUACCCUGGUAGUCCACGCCGUAAACGUUGGGCGCUAGAUGUGGGGACCAUUCCACGGUUUCCGUGUCGCAGCUAACGCAUUAAGCGCCCCGCCUGGGGAGUACGGCCGCAAGGCUAAAACU